GAAAAAGUGCAAAAUCUCCCAUAACAGAUCAUCAAAGCCAUAUUCUCAUCAUCAUGCACUGGAUGCAGUAAAUAUUGAAAUGUUUAUAAUUUCAACCAUGGAGUGUAAUAGAAAAGUGUGCGUGUGCAUGUGCACGUGCAAGUGAGUGUGUAUGUUUGCUUGGGGAUAUGGAGAUGGAUGUAUUUGUUUGUGUGCAUGGAUAUUUGAUAAAGAUGCGCACACUCGCUCUCACUCAAGCAGACGUACACACACACACGCACACAGAGUUGUUUUUGCUAUGUUAUAUAUCAGGGCAAUUGAAGUGUUAUGAUCAAAGGUCCAUUUAGACAAGUUCAAUGUAUGCUGAGGUCUAGAUUGUCUGUUAUUGCUAUUUCAUGUACAUUGUUUAUAAACAUAUGUAACCCUUUCGAGACAGGUUACAUCUUCAGAUGUUCAGCCCAGCCUGAGCAUCUUAGGAUGUGUGUAUCUUUUUAUUUUUUAGACUUCUGGAUGAAAUAUGACAUUGAUAUGAUGAAAUAUAUACGACAUAUUACCAAAGUAAUUCUGAAAAGCAUUUGGUAUAAUAGAUAAUUAUAACUGAAGGAAAUAAAGAAAACUUGUCAUGGAAGGGUUAAUGCCAUUGGAGAUUUUAAGAAUUUAUUUAUAUAAUAGACAGUGGAAGAAACACACUUGAUAUAAUCCAUUGCAAGGACCCAUGUGUUAUUGAAUUGUCUUUUUCUCUUCCUGGAGCCUGGAGCCCAGCUGUUACACUUGGAAGGUCCAGAAUUGGACCUCGGGCCGCCAAUUGAGUAGCUCUGCUAUAUAUGAAUUUUUGAUUUAGUGGGUGCAUAUUUGUAUAUAUUUAACCCAGUCACGACGGGGGCAUUCCAGCCCUGCAUGUUACAAUGCCGGGGCUCUCAAAUGCAUAGGCCUAAAUCAGUUAAAUAAACGAUGCCUUAUGGCGUCACCCAGCGAACGGGCCUUGAAUGCGCGGUACCGUAGUGUACCACCCGUCCAGAGAGGGUUAAAGAUGGUUAUUAAAGAAAGCUAUUCAUUGUAUUUGACUGCAGAGUCUGUUACAUUAGGUGUUGUCUUGUUUAGUUCAGAACGUCUGUUUAGUAUGGAGGUCUACUGAUAACUUCAACGGUAAGAAUAGUUUAUUCUUUAAGUGUUUUAGUCUGGAAAGUGUGGUACUUAAGAAUAGUUGACAUUUAGAAUCAUUCAGGGAUUUCUAUUAAAGUAAUAUGCAGAAUUACUUUUUUUUAAGAUUUGACUCAAUUACAUGGAUGAAAAAUUCCCAAAUCAAUAUGUUUAUUUAAUUGUAAUGACUUUAAAUAUUAUUGUCAUUGCUGUUGAUUUAUUUUAUUUCUGUAAGGGCUUAAGUAACCACAUAUUGUAUAUGAACUUAACUUUAAAAGUAAUGAAUAUUUAUAAAUUACUUUUCAUUUAGUAUUUAACAAAGUUAGUAUCAUUACCCACAAGCCAAGAGGUGGCUUGGGAGUGAUGGUAGCAUUGUGGCAUGUUAAGGUAGGUUGGUUGGCUGUGUUGGUAACUGACCCUGAGUGGUUUGUUGGGCCAGGGAGGACUGGGUGGGGCAACGGCAGUCCCCUGUGCCCCACCUCAGCUUGGAGGAGCUCCAGCAGCACCAGCAUCAACACCAGCAGUACCUGUCAACGGUCAAGUGCCUGCUCAACAGUCAGGUGCCGGCAUGACAGACUACUCCCAACAGUGGAUAGAGUACUACCGCUCACAGGGUAUGCACGCUGAGGCGGAUAAAAUUGAGCAGCAAUUGAAGGCUGCCAAGGGCGGUGCUGGUGGUCCGCCAGGUAGUGGCCCAGGAGCGCCAAUGUAUAAUCCUACAUUUAACCAAGGAUAUUAGAUUGCUAGAUUUGACUUGCACGGGGUUGCAGCUCCACCUCUUCUAGGUUGAAGAACCAUUUGUUGUUGCCUUGAAGACUUCAGUUGUGGGUUGUUGGACUCAAAAUGUAUCAUGUUGCGAUAUCUUAUUCGUGAUGUCAUGAUGUUCCCCCGAUGAUAUGAGAUGCUAUUCAUAAGGAUGGUAUGAAGCUGCUGCAUACUUCAAGAUGUACAAUGAUUUUCGUGUCACUUAUAUCUCCAAAUAUUAUCGUGACUUGUGUAUUGAGGGUUCUUGCUAACUCAGCCAUUUAUUAUUUUUGAUCAAAUCUUGUAAAUAUGCCACGUGGUUAAUCUUUCAUUAAUUAUGCCUAAUGUGAAAAAAAUAUACCUUGUACAAGAUAA
rnacentral:lncRNA from 1 species